rnacentral:rRNA from 1 species
CCCGCUGAACUUAAGCAUAUCAAUAAGCGGAGGAAAAGAAACUAACAAGGAUUCCCCUAGUAACGGCGAGUGAAGCGGGAAGAGCUCAAAUUUAAAAUCUGGCGGUUUCACCGUCCGAGUUGUAGUCUAGAGAAGCAUCAUCUACGCUGGACCAUGUACAAGUCUCUUGGAACAGAGCGUCAUAGAGGGUGAGAAUCCCGUCCUUGACAUGGACUCCCAGUGUUCUGUGUUGUGCUCUCAACGAGUCGAGUUGUUUGGGAAUGCAGCUCAAAAUGGGUGGUAAAUUCCAUCUAAAGCUAAAUAUUGGCGAGAGACCGAUAGCGAACAAGUACCGUGAGGGAAAGAUGAAAAGCACUUUGGAGAGAGAGUUAAACAGUACGUGAAAUUGUUGAAAUGGAAACGCUUGAAGUCAGUCGCGUUCUCUGGGAUUCAGCCUUGCUUUUGCUUGGUGCAUUUCCUAGUCUACGGGCCAGCAUGGAUUUUGACCGUCGGAAAAGGGCUGGGGGAAUGUGGCACUUUCGGGUGUGUUAUAGCCCCCUGUCGCACACGUCGGUUGGGAUCGAGGACCUCAGUGCACGCUUCGGUUGUGCUUUGAUGCUGGCGUAAUGGCUUUAAACGACCCGUCUUGAAACACGG